rfam:Sorghum bicolor cultivar BTx623 chromosome 6, whole genome shotgun sequence.
GUGUUACUAGGAGUUCCCUACAAGCACUUCACGAGACCUUGGCUUAAUAAAGGGUUGUUUGUGAAGUGUUUGGGGGAACUCUUGGUAUCAU